rnacentral:rRNA from 1 species
GACGAACCGUGCGAACGUUAUUCGGAAUCACUGGGCUUAAAGGGCGCGUAGGCGGGUUGCCAAGUCUGUGGUGAAAUCCUCCAGCUUAACUGGAGAACGGCCGUGGAUACUGGCGACCUCGAGGGGGGUAGGGGCUUGCGGAACUGUGCGUGGAGCGGUGAAAUGCGUUGAUAUGCACAGGAACUCCGGUGGCGAAGGCGGCGAGCUGGACCCUUUCUGACGCUGAGGAACGAAAGCUAGGGGAGCAAACGGG